rnacentral:lncRNA from 1 species
CGCUGCUCUCCAAGCUCGUCAUCACCGGAGGUGUUCUUCCCUGAUUGCCACUCUCUUUGAGUGCCCGAGAAGGAAACUCUCCCGAACCCCCAGUUCCCUACUCGAUACAACUCCUCCCAAACUCCAUCGUCAGCUCCAAGACUUGAAGGUAAGCUUCCACGCCCACUGUGACCCUUUCUUUCCCCCACAGCACCCUCUUCGUUCCACUUGUAGUUCCUCUUCAUCUCUGAGCUCGUUCCUUCUCUUCCCACGGUCGCCACAUCGGCCACUCUUCUUCGCUGAGAAGCUCCUCUUCUCCUCAGCGACUGCCACCACCGCUUCGACACCAUCCACGGGACCUUCACCAAGGUCAGCGCCAGCAUGUUCACGACGGCGCACGGGCAGCAGCCUAACGCGAUGCAGUUGGCGACAAGGACUGCGGUGCACGAACGACAUGAGUUGCCGGAGCACUCGACGUCAUCGCUGGCCUCGCUUGACCUGAUCAAAGUACAGUCAGUGAGAUAGCUUUUAUAAAUAUGCAGUGAACAAAUUAAGAAAGAAAUGUGCUUCCCAAUUAGCUUGUUCAUCUUUGCACUUGAUUCAGUCCUAGCAAUUAGAUAAAAGUGCAAGCCACGUUAUUCAUUGACUUGAAUUUAAAAUGAAGAACAAUUAGCUUGGAUUUUGUGGGAAAAAGGACUUAACAUUUCGAUAGCUAUCAUCCAGAGUAAUUUGGAUCAUGAUUUGUAUCUUGUGCACAACAUCAAGCGGAAGAAGAGAAAAAGAGUGUCACAUAGACUACCA